rnacentral:rRNA from 1 species
CUAAUACCUGAUACGGUUCUCAUGCUGGAGUGCAGAGAACCUCAAACGCUGCGGCGCUACAGGAUGUGGCUGCGGCCGAUUAGGUAGACGGUGGGGUAACGGCCCACCGUGCCGAUAAUCGGUACGGGUUGUGAGAGCAAGAGCCCGGAGACGGAAUCUGAGACAAGAUUCCGGGCCCUACGGGGCGCAGCAGGCGCGAAACCUUUACACUGCACGCCAGUGCGAUAAGGGGACCCCAAGUGUGAGGGCAUAUAGCCCUCACUUUUGUGUACCGUAGGGAGGUACACGAAUAAGAGCUGGGCAAGACCGGUGCCAGCCGCCGCGGUAAUACCGGCAGCUCGAGUGAUGACCGAUUUUAUUGGGCCUAAAGCGUCCGUAGCUGGCCGCGUAGGUUCGUCGGGAAAUCCACCUGCUCAACAGGUGGGCGUCCGGCGAAAACCACGUGGCUUGGGACCGGAAGGCUCGAGGGGUACGUCCGGGGUAGGAGUGAAAUCCCGUAAUCCUGGACGGACCGCCGAUGGCGAAAGCACCUCGAGAAGACGGAUCCGACAGUGAGGGACGAAAGCUGGGGUCUCGAACCGGAUUAGAUACCCGGGUAGUCCCAGCCGUAAACAAUGCCUGUUAGGUGUGGCACCGACUACGAGUCGGUGCUGUGCCGUA